rnacentral:rRNA from 1 species
CCCUUAGAUGCCCUGGGCCGCACGCGCGCUACACUGACAUGUUCAACAAGCCUCCUAGUUCGACAGGAUUUGGGAAAUCUUUGAACGCAUGUCGUGAUAGGGAUAGAUCAUUGCAAUUAUUGAUCUUGAACGAGGAAUUCCUAGUAAACGCGAGUCAUCAGCUCGCAUUGAUUACGUCCCUGCCCUUUGUACACACCGCCCGUCGCACCUACCGAUUGAAUGUUUCGGUGAAGAUUCCGGAUAGGACUUUUUUGAUUUAUUUCAAUUCUGUCUUAAAAGCUAUCUAAACCUCAACAUUUAGAGGAAGGUGAAGUCGUAACA